CCGACGGUGAGAGGCGAAAGCUGGGGGAGCAAACCGGAUUAGAUACCCGGGUAGUCCCAGCUGUAAACGAUGCGCGUUAGGUGUGUCAGUGACCACGUGUCACUGAUGUGCCGAAGGGAAACCGUGAAACGCGCCGCCUGGGGAGUACGGUCGCAAGGCUGUAACUUAAAGGAAUUGGCGGGGGAGCACCACAACGGGUGGAGCCUGCGGUUUAAUCGGACUCAACGCCGGAAAUCUCACCGGAUAA
rnacentral:rRNA from 1 species